rnacentral:rRNA from 1 species
GAGACCCGUACCCACAGUUGCCAGCGGCUGCUCCGGCAGGCUGGGUACACUAUGGGGACCGCCUCUGCUAAAGAGGAGGAAGGAGCGGGCGACGGUAGGUCAGUAUGCCCCGAAUUCUCCGGGCUACACGCGGGCUACAAUGGAUGGGACAAUGGACUCCGACACCGAAAGGUGAAGGCAAUCUCUUAAACCCAUUCUUAGUUCGGAUUGAGGGCUGAAACUCGCCCUCAUGAAGCUGGAAUCCGUAGUAAUCGCGUUUCAACAUAGCGCGGUGAAUAC